CUCCGCGCCCUAGGCGCGGAGCUUUUUUCCGACAGUAAAAGGGGUCUGCCCGUG
rfam:Pantoea ananatis PA13, complete genome.